CACAAAAUAAGGAUGGAGAAUUUGAGUGAAUAUUCUAGUCCCAGCUCUUCCUUGAAUUUGCCUUGUAAGUUUAGUUUCCUUAUUUGUAAAAUGAAAUAUUGAACUACAUGGCAUCUGCUACGGUCUGAGUGUUUUUGUCUCUGCCCCCUGCAAAUUCAUGUGUUGACACUUAAUCCCUAAUGCAGUAGCAUUAAGGGGUGGGGUCUUCAGAAGGUGAUUAGAUCACGAUGGCUCCACCCUCAUGAAUGAGAUUAGGACCCUUAUAAAAGAGGCCUGAGAGGACGCCGCUUUUUAAGCCCUCCCGAUGUGUGAGGACACACAGGAGCCACCACCCAGAGGAACAGGCCUUUAGCGGACACUGAAUCUGCUGGUGCCUUCAUCUUGGAAUUUCCAGACUCCAGAACUCUGCAGUUACCAUCCUCAAAUACAAAAGUAAUUGAUACUCAGCAAUGAAAGCUGCAUGUGCAUGUAGGGGAGAGAAGGAGGUUUCACCAGACUGACAAAUGGAGUCAUGGUUCUGGGAAGGAGCAGGGUGUUGGGUGCACAUUUGUCACCUGGGAAUACUACCAGCAAGCCUCAUAUUUUUUCUGCAAUAAAUGCUGGAAAGGAAAAAGAAAUGCUGAAAAUGAUGAAGUAAUUCCAAUUCUGCUGAUAGAGACCUGGAAAUGCACUAGGGAAAAAUGACAAGAGUGUAACACACUGCUGCUGAUUAUGUCAUAAUGAUUAUUUUAUGCAGUUUGAAGAAGACUCACUGUUCUAAAGAACCAGCAUCCAUUUCCAGGAAAGAGCAGGGAUUCUCCAUCCAUACCUCCAUGGGAUGAACCACAUUGAAAAUAAUGAUUUCCUUCUAAUAGCUUACUCUACAUUAUAUAAAGAAUUCCUUGGGAUUCUAAAAAAACCCUAAUAAUAUAGUAAUAAUAACAACAGAGGUUUGUUUUUGCUAUUUGUAGUCUAAUAUUCAGAUUGUGAGCAGCUGUUUUGGAAGGCAAGAUGAGUGAAUAGAUGUGAAGUCGUCUUAGAAAUGUCCAGGCUUCCAAAAGAAAUUUCACUUUUAAAAGAAAAUAGCCUAAUGUGAACCACAUUAGAAUCAGCACAUCUAAUCCUACGGAGAAAAAGUGACCAUGGCUGUCUACACAUAUAGGCAGGUCAUUCAAGCUCAUUCAAAAAUUCCACUUUCACUGGUGGUCUGUCUGUGUCCACAUGGUGACAAAUGGCCCCGGCAGGGUUUUUGAGGUGUUGGCACCACCAGUGAGUGCCAGAUGGAAUGUGGUGAAAGUUCUGAUUUGUACCUUUCAGACUAAAGGUACUUUCCAGAAUGGACGGGUCCUUCUGGCUGCCUUUUGUAAGUGCAGCCACAGGUAUUCUGUUGAAGCCUGUGGGUGAGAAAGACAUAAACAGGUGCUAUAAAUUUGUCAGACCAGGAAGCCACAGGCCGUUUAGUAAAUGGUAAACCCAAUGGCCCAAAAGAACAAAGGGGUCUCUUUUCAUCAGAAUGAUCAGGCUCAUUCAACAAAUAUUUAUUGAGCACCCACUUUCUGCCAGAUGGAAGAGCCACUGACAAGGCCUCUUAUUUAAAGAGUGCCUGAAGUGAGGAAGCAAACCCCCAAAUCAUCUGGGAUGGUAUGAACUGAACUCUGGACCGCAACAUGAUGGAAAGGAGGAGCUGGGGUCCCAAGGGCAGUCCAGACAACCUGAACCUGUGACACUCACCCUGCCCACACACUCUCAGAGCUGCAGCUUUCACGGGGGUGACAUGAAUGCUUGUAAAUGAGCUUGCUGAAUGGGAGACCAAGAACGAUGAUAUUGAGCUGUUACUACAUGCCAGACAUUUAACCCUUUCAUCCAGGUUAUCUCAAUCAUUCCUUACAGAAAGGCUUUUGAGAUGUCCUUGCAACUGGAGGUGCCAUAUGAUACAGUUCUGCCCAAAGACAAGAAAGUGAAUGUCUGUUGAGGGCUUCCUAUAAGGCCAAUACAUACAGGUGUUCCCAACAACAGUGACGGAAGAAGACUAUUAGGAUGCUCGCAACCUCAAUGUGAAUCAAAAGUAACUGCUUUGCCCACGAGACAGUGCAGCAUGGAAGAGGUAAUCUGGAUGCUGGACUUUUGGUGCUUCCUCUACUACCCAGCCAAGGUGAACUUGGGCAAGCCCUUGACCUUCGCAAGGCUAAUUUCUCACUUGUAAGAAGGAGCUAAUAAUUUCUGUCUUCUCAGGCAGGAUGACAUAAAUUAAUAGGUGUAAAGUGGUUGGUACCAGGCUUGGAAUGGGAAAAUUUUGGUAAGUGUCAUUCAUCUUCAUUGUCAUAACAGAAGUCCCCUGAACUCCUUGACACCUAUCAAGAAGGGACAGAUGCUGUGUUUACACCCACAAGCAGCUUUGUGUUUACCAAUUCAAACUUGGACUUCAGAGAAAACAGAGAGCACUCUACUAUGAUAACACAGAACUAGUACCAUAAUUUUUUUUGGUUAAGAAAGGUAUGUACGUUCUGGAAGUUACCUGGGUAGAAUAAAAAACAGAAUAAAAGUGGAAAGAACAAAAGAAUUUAAAAAAUGAAUAGAAUUUAUUUUCAAAUAAAUGUGCAUUUUGUUAACCAAAAUAAUAAACAUUAAAUGUGUUUGUGUUUUGUGCCACAUAACUAUUUUUUAAUGUCCUAUUAUUCACAGCCUAGUUAGAGGACCAGGGGUUCAUUGAAGUCAGCAUGUUUA
rnacentral:lncRNA from 10 species